ensembl:lncRNA
CAGAAGGGAGGAGCAAAACUGCCAGGAUUGCUGUGUUCUCUACAAGAAUCAGUUGCUCAAGAUUUGUUGUCACCUGAUUUUAAAUCUCCUAACAACUGGGGAGCAAGGCACAGGCUAUGGCUGAAGGUUUUCCUGGGUGGGGACACAAAGAGGCUGAGCCUCUGUAGCUCUCCCUGCUCUAUCAACCUCACAGACAGGAUGUAUCUGGAUCUGGAGACAUGUGGAACCCCUCCGGCCAGGUUAUGGAGGAAGAUCCCUGCUCAGCAAGUCUGGCAACUCAACACCCAGCACUAAUUAAGAAAAAGCAACUGAAUUUCCAAACGGGAGCUGCAAUGUUGGCUGAGUGUAAGCAGCAGCAGAACCAAUCCCAUCCCUGCCAAGACCCAGGAUUCUGAACUUCAGAAGAAACUAAGUAAUUCUUGCUGUGCGGACAUUCAACCCUGGUCCUAGCAUCCUCCCGGGUUCCCUGAGUCGCGCGUUUCUCUGGCUGU